CCUACGGGUGGCUGCAGUGGGGAAUAUUGGACAAUGGGCGAAAGCCUGAUCCAGCCAUGCCGCGUGUGUGAAGAAGGCCUUCGGGUUGUAAAGCACUUUCAGUGGGGAAGAAAGCCUUGGGGCUAAUACCCUCGAGGAAGGACAUCACCCACAGAAGAAGCACCGGCUAACUCCGUGCCAGCAGCCGCGGUAAUACGGAGGGUGCGAGCGUUAAUCGGAAUUACUGGGCGUAAAGCGCGCGUAGGCGGUCUGAUAAGCCGGUUGUGAAAGCCCCGGGCUCAACCUGGGAACGGCAUCCGGAACUGUCAGGCUAGAGUGCAGGAGAGGAAGGUAGAAUUCCCGGUGUAGCGGUGAAAUGCGUAGAGAUCGGGAGGAAUACCAGUGGCGAAGGCGGCCUUCUGGACUGACACUGACGCUGAGGUGCGAAAGCGUGGGUAGCGAACAGGAUUAGAUACCCCGGUAGUC
rnacentral:rRNA from 1 species